GAGGGUAUAGCUCAGUGAUAGAGCACAUGCUUAGCAUGCACGAGGUCCUGGGUUCAAUUCCCAGUACCUCCA
rnacentral:tRNA from 1 species